GCCGCUACGCUCUCAUGCAUGCAUGGGCUCAUGGCAAGCUGCAUGCAUGUACAUCAAGGGCAGAAGACGACCUGGUAGUUGCUAUUGCCGUUGCACGAACGGGUCUUAGGGUCGUUGGGCUGGUGGUACGCGUCGGGGCAGCCGGAGUCCCUGCACCGGAGGGCGGCGCCGGUGCUGCACGAGAAGUCCAUGGGCAGGUUGUACCCGUCGAUCACCGAGAUGUCGUAGUAGUCGUGGUUGCUGCCGCCGCCGAUGGUGAACUCGGCCAGCGUCGCCGGGGGCUGCCCGGACAGGCUGCAGGAGUAGGCGCCUCCGCAGUCGCCCGUCGCGCAGCGGCCCCGGCCGCCGCUGAAGGAGCAGCCGGUGCGGCCCCAGAUCCUGCCUCCGCUGGUCCCGGCCUGCACGUUGACAGUCCACGUCGAGCCCGGGUUCAGCUGCGUGCCGCCGCCGACCGGGAUGCCUGCUGGCCACACCGUGAACCCGCAGUUGUUUCGUACCGUGAACGUGGCGGCGCCGGCGCAUGUGGCGAAGCAAGCGAGCAGGAGGAAGAAGACGGAGGACGACGUC
rnacentral:misc_RNA from 1 species